AAGGAAUAUUGGUCAAUGGGCGCAAGCCUGAACCAGCCAUCCCGCGUGCAGGAUGAAGGUCCUAUGGAUUGUAAACUGCUUUUAUCAGGGAAGAAACGCCUUCAUUUAUGAGGGUCUGACGGCACCUGAGGAAUAAGCACCGGCUAACUCCGUGCCAGCAGCCGCGGUAAUACGGAGGGUGCGAGCGUUAUCCGGAAUCACUGGGUUUAAAGGGUGCGUAGGCGGGGAAUUAAGUCAGUGGUGAAAGCCUGUCGCUUAACGAUAGAAUUGCCAUUGAUACUGAUUUUCUUGAAUUGGGUUGAGGUUAGCGGAAUGUGACGUGUAGCGGUGAAAUGCAUAGAUAUGUCAUGGAACACCAAUUGCGAAGGCAGCUAACUGGGCCUUGAUUGACGCUGAGGCACGAAAGCGUGGGUAGCGAAC
rnacentral:rRNA from 1 species